rnacentral:lncRNA from 1 species
AUUGGAGACUAAUGGCCGGAAUGCAGGGUUGGGUAAGGACCAGAUUAAUUAAGAAUGUAACAAUAUUAUUUCCGUUUACGGUGACAUUGCUUUAUUGUUACACGGAAGUCUGCAAUGUACGAUGGGGCUAGUAAUAUAUAUUAUAAUAAAACUUGAAGUCUGCAAUGUACGAUGGGGCUAGUAAUAUAUAUUAUAAUAAAAC